rnacentral:lncRNA from 1 species
GCAGUUCGUACAAAGCUUUGUUCAACUUACAUACCAGCUUCUGACCGUUGGGGCCUGGCACCUCAAAUCCAGGCGGCUGGUCCAUUAAAAUUUCUUUCGUGGGGUCGGUAUGUGAUCAAAUAGACUGUAAAAUAUGAAAUCCAGUCAUGUGGUAGUAUAAAUUCUGAUAUAUGUUCGUAUAUUUGAGACGUCAUAUGACAAAUAAACCUUGUAAUAGGCUAUGAGUAAC